rnacentral:tRNA from 1 species
GUCUUCGUGGUGUAGUGGUUAGCACGCUCGACGCGUAACCGAGAGGUCCGUGGUUCGAUUCCCGCCGAAGGUG